GAUGAAGAACGCAGCGAAAUGCGAUACGUAAUGUGAAUUGCAGAAUUCAGUGAAUCAUCGAAUCUUUGAACGCAUAUUGCGCUCUCUGGUAUUCCGGAGAGCAUGCUUGUUUGAGUAUCAGUAAACACCUCAACUUCCAUAUCUUUUUUGAAAUGGGAGUUGGACUUGAGUGAUCACAACGCUUUUCCUCACCGAAAAGUGGCGGGUUACUUGAAAUGCAGGUGCAGCUGGACUUUUCUCUGAGCUAUAAGCAUAUCUAUUUAGUCUGCCUAAAAAACAGAUUAUUACCUUUGCUGCAGCUAACAUAAAGGAGAUUAGUUCUUGUGCUGACUGAUGCAGGAUUCACAAAGACAGGCUUCGGCCGACUUUGUAAACUCGAUCUCAAAUCAAGUAAGACUACCCGCUGAACUUAAGCAUAUCAAUAAGCGGAGGA
rnacentral:misc_RNA from 1 species